AACAGGAUUAGAUACCCUGGUAGUCCACGCCGUAAACGAUGAGUGCUAAGUGUUAGAGGGUUUCCGCCCUUUAGUGCUGCAGCUAACGCAUUAAGCACUCCGCCUGGGGAGUACGGUCGCAAGACUGAAACUCAAAGGAAUUGACGGGGGCCCGCACAAGCGGUGGAGCAUGUGGUUUAAUUCGAAGCAACGCGAAGAACCUUACCAGGUCUUGACAUCCUCUGACAACUCUAGAGAUAGAGCGUUCCCCUUCGGGGGACAGAGUGACAGGUGGUGCAUGGUUGUCGUCAGCUCGUGUCGUGAGAUGUUGGGUUAAGUCCCGCAACGAGCGCAACCCUUGAUCUUAGUUGCCAGCAUUUAGUUGGGCACUCUAAGGUGACUGCCGGUGACAAACCGGAGGAAGGUGGGGAUGACGUCAAAUCAUCAUGCCCCUUAUGACCUGGGCUACACACGUGCUACAAUGGAUGGUACAAAGGGCUGCAAGACCGCGAGGUCAAGCCAAUCCCAUAAAACCAUUCUCAGUUCGGAUUGUAGGCUGCAACUCGCCUACAUGAAGCUGGAAUCGCUAGUAAUCGCGGAUCAGCAUGCCGCGGUGAAUAUGUACCCGGGCCCUGUACACACCGCCCGUCACACCCUGGGAAUUGGUUUCGCCCGAAGCAUCGGACCAAUGAUCACCCAUGACUUCUGUGUACCACUAGUGCCACAAAGGCCUUUGGUGGUCUUAUUGGCGCAUACCACGGUGGGGUCUUCGACUGGGGUGAAGUCGUAACAAGGUAACC
rnacentral:rRNA from 1 species